GCAUCGAUGAAGAACGCAGCCAGCUGCGUGAACUAAUGUGAAUUGCAGGACACAUUGAACAUCGACACUUUGAACGCAUAUUGCGGCCAAGGGUCCGUGCUUUGGCCACGCCCGUCUGAGGGUCGGC
rnacentral:rRNA from 1 species